rnacentral:rRNA from 1 species
UUUUGUAUGUACCUUAUGAAUAAGGAUCGGCUAACUCCGUGCCAGCAGCCGCGGUAAUACGGAGGAUCCGAGCGUUAUCCGGAUUUAUUGGGUUUAAAGGGUGCGUAGGCGGCCUUUUAAGUCAGCGGUGAAAGUCUGUGGCUCAACCAUAGAAUUGCCGUUGAAACUGGGGGGCUUGAGUAUGUUUGAGGCAGGCGGAAUGCGUGGUGUAGCGGUGAAAUGCAUAGAUAUCACGCAGAACCCCGAUUGCGAAGGCAGCCUGCCAAGCCAUUACUGACGCUGAUGCACGAAAGCGUGGGGAUCAAACAGGAUUAGAUACCCUGGUAGUCCACGCAGUAAACGAUGAUCACUAGCUGUUUGCGAUACAGUGUAAGCGGCACAGCGAAAGCGUUAAGUGAUCCACCUGGGGAGUACGCCGGCAACGGUGAAACUCAAAGGAAUUGACGGGGGCCCGCACAAGCGGAGGAACAUGUGGUUUAAUUCGAUGAUACGCGAGGAACCUUACCCGGGUUUGAACGCAUUCGGACCGAGGUGGAAACACCUUUUCUAGCAAUAGCCGUUUGCGAGGUGCUGCAUGGUUGUCGUCAGCUCGUGCCGUGAGGUGUCGGCUUAAGUGCCAUAACGAGCGCAACCCUUGCCACUAGUUACUAACAGGUGAUGCUGAGGACUCUGGUGGGACUGCCAGCGUAAGCUGCGAGGAAGGCGGGGAUGACGUCAAAUCAGCACGGCCCUUACAUCCGGGGCGACACACGUGUUACAAUGGCGUGGACAAAGGGAGGCCACCUGGCGACAGGGAGCGAAUCCCCAAACCACGUCUCAGUUCGGAUCGGAGUCUGCAACCCGACUCCGUGAAGCUGGAUUCGCUAGUAAUCGCGCAUCAGCCAUGGCGCGGUGAAUACGUUCCCGGGCCUUGUACACACCGCCCGUCAAGCCAUGGGAGCCGGGGGUACCUGAAGUCCGUAACCGAAAGGAUCGGCCUAGGGUAAAACUGGUGACUGGGGCUAAGUCGUAACAAGGUAGCCGUACCGGAAGGUGCGGCUGGAACACCUCCUUUCU